rnacentral:rRNA from 2 species
AGCCGACCUUGAAAUACCACCCUUUAAUGUUUGAUGUUCUAACGUGGAUCCGUAAUCCGGGUUGCGGACAGUGUCUGGUGGGUAGUUUGACUGGGGCGGUCUCCUCCUAAAGAGUAACGGAGGAGCACGAAGGUUGGCUAAUCCUGGUCGGACAUCAGGAGGUUAGUGCAAUGGCAUAAGCCAGCUUGACUGCGAGCGUGACGGCGCGAGCAGGUGCGAAAGCAGGUCAUAGUGAUCCGGUGGUUCUGAAUGGAAGGGCCAUCGCUCAACGGAUAAAAGGUACUCCGGGGAUAACAGGCUGAUACCGCCCAAGAGUUCAUAUCGACGGCGGUGUUUGGCACCUCGAUGUCGGCUCAUCACAUCCUGGGGCUGAAGUAGGUCCCAAGGGUAUGGCUGUUCGCCAUUUAAAGUGGUACGCGAGCUGGGUUUAGAACGUCGUGAGACAGUUCGGUCCCUAUCUGCCGUGGGCGCUGGAGAACUGAGGGGGGCUGCUCCUAGUACGAGAGGACCGGAGUGGACGCAUCACUGGUGUUCGGGUUGUCAUGCCAAUGGCACUGCCCGGUAGCUAAAUGCGGAAGAGAUAAGUGCUGAAAGCAUCUAAGCACGAAACUUGCCCCGA